rnacentral:rRNA from 1 species
AGUGAACGCUGGCGGUAGGCCUGACACAUGCAAGUCGAACGGCAGCACAGUAAGAGCUUGCUCUUACGGGUGGCGAGUGGCGGAAGGGUGGGGAAUACAUCGGAAUCUACUUUUUCGUGGGGGCUAACGUAGGGUAACUUACGCUAAUACCGCUUACGACCUACGGGUGAAAGCAGAGGCUCUUCGGACCUUGCGCGAUCGAAUGAGCCGAUGUCGGAUUAGAUAGUUGGCGGGGUAAAGGCCCACCAAGGCGACGAGCCGUAGCUGGUCUGAGAGGAUGAUCAGCCCCACUGGAACUGAGACACGGUCCAGACUCCUACGGGAGGCAGCAGUGGGGAAUAUUGGACAAUGGGCGCAAUCCUGAUCCAGCCAUACCGCGUGGGUGAAGAAGGCCUUCGGGUUGUAAAGCCCUUUUGUUGUGGAAGAAAAGCAGCAGGUUAAUACCCCGCUGUGCUGACGGUACCCAAAGAAUAAGCACCGGCUAACUUCGUG